rnacentral:rRNA from 1 species
GAUGAACGCUGGCGGCGUGCUUAACACAUGCCAGUCGAACGAUGAAGCCCAGCUUGCUGGGUGGAUUAGUGGCGAACGGGUGAGUAACACGUGAGUAACCUGCCCUUGACUCUGGGAUAAGCCUGGGAAGCUGGGUCUAAUACUGGAUAUGACUUCUCAUCGCAUGGUGGGGGGUGGAAAGAUUUAUUGGUCUUGGAUGGACUCGCGGCCUAUCAGCUUGUUGGUGAGGUAAUGGCUCACCAAGGCGACGACGGGUAGCCGGCCUGAGAGGGUGACCGGCCACACUGGGACUGAGACACGGCCCAGACUCCUACGGGAGGCAGCAGUGGGGAAUAUUGCACAAUGGGCGCAAGCCUGAUGCAGCGACGCCGCGUGAGGGAUGACGGCCUUCGGGUUGUAAACCUCUUUCAGUAGGGAAGAAGCGAGAGUGACGGUACCUGCAGAAGAAGCGCCGGCUAACUACGUG